rnacentral:rRNA from 1 species
CCUACGGGAGGCAGCAGUGAGGAAUAUUGGUCAAUGGACGAGAGUCUGAACCAGCCAAGUAGCGUGAAGGAUGACUGCCCUAUGGGUUGUAAACUUCUUUUAUAAAGGAAUAAAACGAGGCACGUGUGCCUUUUUGCAUGUACUUUAUGAAUAAGGAUCGGCUAACUCCGUGCCAGCAGCCGCGGUAAUACGGAGGAUCCGAGCGUUAUCCGGAUUUAUUGGGUUUAAAGGGAGCGUAGAUGGGUUGUUAAGUCAGUUGUGAAAGUUUGCGGCUCAACCGUAAAAUUGCAAUUGAUACUGGCAGUCGUGAGUACAGUUGAGGUAGGCGGAAUGCGUGGUGUAGCGGUGAAAUGCUUAGAUAUCACGAAGAACCCCGAUUGCGAAGGCAGCUUACUAAACUGUGACUGACAUUGAUGCUCGAAAGUGUGGGUAUCAAACAGGAUUAGAUACCCUGGUAGUC